CGGGUGGGUGCUGCUAUGGUGACCAGUGAGCUGAGAUAAGGGAGUCACAUGUAAUUUCCUAGAAGCCGGACACGGAAAAGGCCAGGCUGAUUGGGUAGGAGCAGCUGUGAAACAGAAGAUGGAAUUAGAAUGACCUCUCAAAUGGAAGAACUGUAUUUGAGGAAAUGUCAAAUGAUCAGUCAGCUUUCAAGCUCUUCUAUAUCUGAGAUGGAGGCCCUCCUACCAGAUCACCUGGGGACAAUCUGUGGGACAAUGAAGAUACACCAGAUCGUCACCAACAGUCCAGGAGAACUUGGAGGAUACUCAGUCGCUUCUGUUCUUUUCCACAUCACUGCAGCUGUUUCAGCCCACAGGCUGACUGGUUGAAAAAGAGGCAGACCAAGAUGGAAAAUCCAACACAUCUCUCAGUCCCAUCUAGCCCAUUGAAGAUAUAAGUCAAUCAUUGAUUGGAAAGUGGUGUGUUGGAGUAAGAUCAGGACGUUUUACCCUGGCAUCACGCAAGACGUUCCCGCAGUAGUGAUCUUGUGAAGUCGCAUUAGACUACAUCACAUGGUACAGACCACAGCAUGUGCUUGGACUUGUCCCUGAGCCCCAUCCAGUGACCAAAAGGCACAUGGAGCUGGAUGCCUUGGUCUGGGAUGAACUUAGCUUUCUUUCUAAAGUCUUUGAUUCCCUUGGAAACUCACUAUACAAAGCAGGUCAUAAAAUGUGUAGCUCUCAAGUCUUCCCUCAACAUAGAUGCAACAACUAGAACCUAAGUAGUCAAGGACAAAACAUUGGUCUCAUCUUGAAAACGUUUCAGUGUUUAGGAAUCUUUGUCUAAUUAUGUGUUUUACAAUGGCUAUUUAAAAUAUUUGCAGUAAAAUAUUGUUUUCA